AUUGAACGCUGGCGGCAUGCUUUACACAUGCAAGUCGAACGGUAACAGGGAGCUGCUCCGCUGACGAGUGGCGAACGGGUGAGUAAUGCAUCGGAACGUACCGUGUAGUGGGGGAUAAACGUAGCGAAAGUUACGCUAAUACCGCAUACGCCCCGAGGGGGAAAGUGGGGGACCGCAAGGCCUCACGCUAUAUGAGCGGCCCGAUGUCGGAUUAGCUAGUUGGUAGGGUAAAGGCCUACCAAGGCGACGAUCCGUAGCGGGUCUGAGAGGAUGAUCCGCCACACUGGGACUGAGACACGGGCCCAGACUCCUACGGGAGGCAGCAGUGGGGAAUUUUGGACAAUGGCGCAAGCCUGAUCCAGCCAUGCCGCGUGAGUGAAGAAGGCCUUCGGGUUGUAAAGCUCUUUC
rnacentral:rRNA from 1 species